rnacentral:misc_RNA from 1 species
GAUGAAGAACGCAGUGAAUUGCGAUAAGUAAUGUGAAUUGCAGAAUUCAGUGAAUCAUCGAAUCUUUGAACGCAGCUUGCGCUCUCUGGUAUUCCGGAGAGCAUGCCUGUUUCAGUGUCAUGAAAUCUCAACCACUAGGGUUUCCUAAUGGAUUGGAUUUGGGCGUCUGCGAUUUCUGAUCGCUCGCCUUAAAAGAGUUAGCAAGUUUGACAUUAAUGUCCGGUGUAAUAAGUUUCACUGGGUCCAUUGUGUUGAAGCGUGCUUCUAAUCGUCCGCAAGGACAAUUACUUUGACUCUGGCCUGAAAUCAGGUAGGACUACCCGCUGAACUUAAGCAUAUCAAUAAGCGGAGGA